AUCGCUUCUCGGCCUCUUGGCUCAGAUCAAGUGAGUAUCUAGAAGGCGAAUAGGUAUACGUCCUAGAUAGCGGGAGCUAUAUUAAAUGGAUUUUUGGAAGCGGGAAAUGGAAGCGGGGCUUGCUCCGAACACUCCACGAUUCCACCCGGAUUGACUACCUAUGGGGAAGACGGAAGUUCGUGUU